rnacentral:rRNA from 1 species
GACGAACGCUGGCGGCGUGCUUAACACAUGCAAGUCGAACGGAAAGGCCCUGCUUUUGUGGGGUGCUCGAGUGGCGAACGGGUGAGUAACACGUGAGUAACCUGCCCUUGACUUUGGGAUAACUUCAGGAAACUGGGGCUAAUACCGGAUAGGAGCUCCUGCUGCAUGGUGGGGGUUGGAAAGUUUCGGCGGUUGGGGAUGGACUCGCGGCUUAUCAGCUUGUUGGUGGGGUAGUGGCUUACCAAGGCUUUGCCGGGUAGCCGGCCUGCGAGGGUGACCGGCCAAGCUGGACCGGAGAUGCGACACAGACCACUACGGGAGGGAGGAGAGGGGAAUAUUGUACAAGGGGCUGAAGGCUGAUGCAGCAACGCCGCGUGGGGGAAGACGGGCAGCGGGUUGGAUUCCGCAGUCGCCUGUGACGAAGCGUGAGUGACAGUAAUGGGUAAAGAAGCACCGGCUAACUACGUG